rnacentral:rRNA from 1 species
AGAGCCCAAACCAAGAAGCUUGCUUCUUGGGGUUGUAGGACACUCUAUACGGAGUUACAAAAGAAAGUUAUAAAUGAAGCGGUCUGGAAAGGCCCGCCAAAGACGGUAACAGCCCGGUAGUUGAAAUAGCUUUCCCUCCAGAGUGGAUCCUGAGUACGGCGGAACACGUGAAAUUCCGUCGGAAUCCGGGAGGACCAUCUCCCAAGGCUAAAUACUCCCUAGUGACCGAUAGUGAACCAGUACCGUGAGGGAAAGGUGAAAAGCACCCCGGAAGGGGAGUGAAACAGUUCCUGAAACCGUGUGCCUACAAGUAGUUAGAGCCCGUUAAUGGGUGAUAGCGUGCCUUUUGUAGAAUGAACCGGCGAGUUACGAUUUGUUGCAAGGUUAAGCGGAAAAAGCGGAGCCGUAGCGAAAGCGAGUCUGAAUAGGGCGCAUAAGUAACAGGUCGUAGACCCGAAACCAGGUGAUCUACCCAUGUCCAGGAUGAAGGUAAGGUAAUACUUACUGGAGGUCCGAACCCACGCACGUUGAAAAGUGCGGGGAUGAGGUGUGGGUAGCGGAGAAAUUCCAAUCGAACUUGGAGAUAGCUGGUUCUCUCCGAAAUAGCUUUAGGGCUAGCCUCGAGGUAAAGAGUCAUGGAGGUAGAGCACUGUUUGGACUAGGGGCCCUUCUCGGGUUACCGAAUUCAGAUAAACUCCGAAUGCCAUGUACUUAUACUCGGGAGUCAGACUGCGAGUGAUAAGAUCCGUAGUCGAAAGGGAAACAGCCCAGACCACCAGUUAAGGUCCCCAAAUAUAUGUUAAGUGGAAAAGGAUGUGGGGUUGCUUAGACAACCAGGAUGUUGGCUUAGAAGCAGCCACCAUUGAAAGAGUGCGUAAUAGCUCACUGGUCGAGUGACCCCGCGCCGAAAAUGUACCGGGGCUAAACAUAUUACCGAAACUGUGGAUGAACCUCUUUAGAGGUUCGUGGUAGGAGAGCGUUCUAAGGGCGGUGAAGUCAGACCGGAAGGACUGGUGGAGCGCUUAGAAGUGAGAAUGCCGGUAUGAGUAGCGAAAGAAGGGUGAGAAUCCCUUCCACCGAAUAUCUAAGGUUUCCUGAGGAAGGCUCGUCCGCUCAGGGUUAGUCGGGACCUAAGCCGAGGCCGAUAGGCGUAGGCGAUGGACAACAGGUAGAGAUUCCUGUACCAGUGCUAAUUGUUUAACCGAUGGGGUGACACAGAAGGAUAGGGAA